UAGCCGUAAACGAUACUCGCUAGGUGUCGGCCACGGUGCGACCGUUGUCGGUGCCGUAGGGAAGCCGUGAAGCGAGCCACCUGGGAAGUACGGCCGCAAGGCUGAAACUUAAAGGAAUUGGCGGGGGAGCACCACAACGGGUGGAGCUUGCGGUUUAAUUGGAUUCAACGCCGGAAAUCUUACCGGGACCGACAGCAACAUGAAGGCCAAGCUGAUGACCUUGCCUGAUUUUCCGAGAGGAGGUGCAUGGCGUAGUCGUGU
rnacentral:rRNA from 1 species